AAUCAACGCUGGCGGCGUGCCUCAGACAUGCAAGUCGAACGCGAAAGUUCCCUUCGGGGGGCGAGUAGAGUGGCGCACGGGCGAGUAACACGUAGGUAAUCUACCUUUGGGUGGGGAAUAACAGCCGGAAACGGCUGCUAAUACCGCAUAAUGCAGCGGCUCGACAUCGAGACAGUUGUUAAAGCGGGGGAUCGCAAGACCUCGCGCCUAAAGAGGAGCCUGCGGCGGAUUAGCUUGUUGGUGAGGUAAUGGCUCACCAAGGCAUCGAUCCGUAGCCGGCCUGAGAGGGCGGUCGGCCACACUGACACUGACAUACGGGUCAGACUCCUACGGGAGGCAGCAGUCGGGAAUUUUGGGCAAUGGGCGCAAGCCUGACCCAGCAACGCCGCGUGAAGGAUGAAAUCCCU
rnacentral:rRNA from 1 species